ensembl:lncRNA
CUGCCACUGGGGAAGGUUUUUCUUUUGGAGAUUGCUCCUUGUGGAGUUUUCUUGUGAGCCUACAGCACUGUCCCCAACAGAAGACAAAAAACAACCUCCACAGAGGACAGUCCAAUCCUUGCCUACCUCAAAAAGCGUUUGUAAAGUUUGCUGGCACAUUUGCAAACAUAAAGGUAAACCACUCUCCCUGAAACUCAGCAAACCAGAAAGGAUUAUAAAUGUUCUAAGGACCACAAGAUCUGUGCAAGUCAAACAUUAUAAAAGUGAAUGUGCUUUUGAAAACUCAUUGUGUCUGCUUUUCUAGGAAGGAUUUUCUGGCUAGUUCAAGCCUCUUGAUUUUUCAAUGUCUGCAAACUGCAAGGCUCAUCUCCUUACUCUCAGUGGCUGUUGCUAUUUUGGUUUUCUAAUGAAAUCAACAUUCUUGCAACUUGAUCUGGAACAUUUACAGGAGAUAGAGUCAGUGUCCUGAGAAAACUGCUGUGAUGUUUCAGUUGGGGAAUUUCAAUUAUCAUUUCCAAUUAGUUUAGUACUGCCUAAAAUGCAUGAAAGUGGAAGACUGCAUUGCUUGUUCUUAAAGAAAAGAACCCAAGACUUGACUAUCCUGCUGUAACUGCUACAUAACAAGCUGUAACAUAAAAACACAGGUGAGAACUCCUCAUUAUAACCUGAUGAAUAAUGUAUGAUAUGUAAAGCACUGUGAAUAAACAUUAAGCCAUUGCUGACAGUCUGAGAAAGGACAGCAGAAAGUUAUGCGAUCCUUUCCAUGUUUGCUUGAUUAAAGUA